UUUCAAGGGUUGAAAAACAGUGUUCACCUAGGUGUCUGCUAAUAGACUUUCUCCUAUUUUCCACUGCUGCUUACUGAAGCUUGUUUGCUGUCAAUUCAGGCAAGAUGUUAGCCUUAUGCAAGAAGGAGACCAAGUUGUGCCCAGAAGAACAGAGGUAGUAGAAUGGAAUGCAUAAGCAUGGAAGAGAUUUGGACUUCCUUUAAGACCUUGUUCUGAAUUCCUCACUCCGUUUAAGGCAAGGAUUUUAAAAGCUGCAAUCAAAUAUCUCCACUGACAUCUCCAUCGUUUGCCUGCUGGAAAUUAGAAAACAAACAUCCCCUCCUACCAUCCUUGCACCAGCAGGAAGAUUAAUUUAAAGUGUGAGGCAGAGCUCCAGAAGUUUUUCUCUUCAUUGUUUUGUUCUCGUGGCUUUAAACCAAGUCAUCAUUAACCCUUUCACGCAGCUUUUGUGGUGCUGAAAGAAAUGGCAUCGUAAAAGUUUUAAAGCCACCCGUGGUGAUAUAUCCAAAUUCUCUCAAAUGUAGCACAAAAUACUAAACAUAUAAUAAUAAAGAAUGAAAGUUUACUCA